UACGGAGGGUGCAAGCGUUAUCCGGAUUCACUGGGUUUAAAGGGUGCGUAGGCGGUCAGGUAGGUCCGUUGUGAAAACUCGAGGCUCAACCUCGAGACGCCGAUGGAAACCAUCUGACUAGAGUCCGGAAGAGGAGAGUGGAAUUCCUGGUGUAGCGGUGAAAUGCGCAGAUAUCAGGAAGAACACCCGUGGCUAAGGCGGCUCUCUAGUACGGUACUGACGCUGAGACGCGAAAGCGUGGGGAGCGAACAGG
rnacentral:rRNA from 1 species